ensembl:snoRNA Gm27295 predicted gene, 27295
UAAUAACCAGGUUAGGGCUUGGGAGCUGAGCGUGCUGGCUGCCUGCCAGGCCUUCACAAACGCAGGUGUGUGCUCUGUGAGGCAAGUUUCCCAAAAGGCCACAAGGUCAUCUAGCCCAGGGGGUGGAAUGUGACUGCAGUCCUGGCUACAGAG